AUUGAACGCUGGCGGCAUGCUUUACACAUGCAAGUCGAACGGUAACAGGGUGCUUGCACCGCUGACGAGUGGCGAACGGGUGAGUAAUGCGUCGGAACGUGCCGAGUAGUGGGGGAUAACGCAUCGAAAGGUGUGCUAAUACCGCAUACGUACUGAGGUAGAAAGUGGGGGACCUUCGGGCCUCACGCUAUUCGAGCGGCCGACGUCUGAUUAGCUAGUUGGUGAGGUAAAGGCUCACCAAGGCGACGAUCAGUAGCGGGUCUGAGAGGAUGAUCCGCCAGACUGGGACUGAGACACGGCCCAGACUCCUACGGGAGGCAGCGGUGGGGAAUUUUGGACAAUGGGCGCAAGCCUGAUCCAGCCAUGCCGCGUGUCUGAAGAAGGCCUUCGGGUUGUAAAGGACUUUUGUCCGGGAGCAAAUGCCUGGUGUUAAUAGCACUGGGAGCUGAGAGUACCGGAAGAAUAAGCACCGGCUAACUACGUGCCAGCAGCCGCGGUAAAAC
rnacentral:rRNA from 1 species